rnacentral:rRNA from 1 species
CAGUAGCCACGGGAAUACGAAGGGGGCUAGCGUUGUUCGGAAUUACUGGGCGUAAAGCGCACGUAGGCGGAUAUUUAAGUCAGGGGUGAAUCCCGCAGCUCAACUGCGGAACUGCCUUUGAUACUGGGUAUCUUGAGUAUGGAAGAGGUUAGUGGAAUUGCGAGUGUAGAGGUGAAAUUCGUAGAUAUUCGCAGGAACACCAGUGGCGAAGGCGGCUAACUGGUCCAUAACUGACGCUGAGGUGCGAAAGCGUGGGGAGCAAACAGGAUUAGAUACCCGCGUAGUCCCUGUCUCUUAUACA